GGGUAGAUGGGUGCUGGUGUGCCCCUCGGUCUUCAAAACCGAUGUGAGCAGUUAGGAGCUGCUUGGGUGGGUUCAAUUCCUACAUACUCCC
rnacentral:tRNA from 1 species